GAGGAGGGGCAAAUUCAGAGCUGCAGCCGCGGGGCUUGGGUUCGAUCUGACAGGCAAAGGUAGAACAAUCAGACCUCUCCCCAGGAGCUUCGCGUAAUCUCAGCCUCGCAAAGAUACCGGAGGUGGGGGGUUGGGGGUGGGAGAGAUCAGCCCAGGCCUGGGACGAGGGACAGUGGCUACUGGGACAUGAGUGGGGUGAGGGACAAAGUCGUGCUGAGAGGCAGAACUAGAGGGAUUUAGCAGCAGAAAGGGGGAAGGUAACAGGCUGGCAGAGGGGAGACUCAGCCGGGACAUUUUGUGAACACAAGGGGAUCUUUGGAGGGGACGGUUGGGGGGACACUCGUGUGAGCGGAAGCCUUAGGACGCUAUACCACCAGCUCCCCGCAUCUCUUGCAGACCCAGUUGGAGGAUCCGCUGCCCCAGACACUAGCGCCGCGGAAGGGUUCUCACGCGGGGUCCCGCUCUCUGGCCCCGCCCCGCCAGUCUAGCCCCGCCUCUGGCCUCAGGUGCUGGCCCCGCCCCCCAUUUCUGGCCUGGACCCCUGGAUCUGCGGCGCUGCCCGGCCUCGGCGCUCCGGCCCCGGCCCGUUGGUUCCUGGCCUCACGAAGCUCUCCGACCGCGCCCCCUGGCCUCAGCCUUUCUCCCUCUUUGAAAAUAAGAUCGCACCAAGUCAGGGAUUAGAAAUUGGAGAAAUUCAAUCAGAGCCUCCCUCUGCCAGUACACACCUCAGUACACUCCCGGGCGAGAAGAAUCAGUUCCCACUACAACCCAGCUCAGCAUCAUCAUUCAAAACGCACCGUCCACCAGGAGCCUCAAGCCCACAGUCCCCUAGACCACAGACCAGCACCUGGGGUGACCCGUGAUGGACGUGCAGUUCCAAGUGAGACCACGUCCCUGGACACACGGAGCUUGGUCCGUGUUCCUGGAUGCCUCUACAUCUUCUGAAACACAGCCUGUACAGCAGAACCAGCUACAGAGUUGGGCAGAUCUGUUCCCUAGAUCACACAGAAGAGGCCCCCAUGGUGUGAGUCACUCGGCAAGCCCCCUGGGUGGGGAGCACUUUUUUUUCCCCCAGUUGGAAUGGAAUUGAAAAGAAAUAGAGGCAAGAUACACUCGUGACGAUGUGGGCCAGCUGCACAUAAACGGUGGAAUAUUUGCCUCCUGCUCAUCUUCCAAAAGUAAGUACUGAUUGAGCGACUAAUUAGCUGUGUUCUCCAGGUGCUCUGAAUCAGAUAGUUUCUUUGUUUUGGGGUGGCAGGUGUAAUCUGGGUGAGAGGAAGGCUUCUUGGGGCUCUCUGUUCCCACAGAACUCCAGAGUGGCCUCAUUUCACUCCUCUCAGGAAACAGUGUUCCGAGUGACAGAUUGAUUGGUGUAUGGGUGGUUACCAAAAAAGAAUCUAUUUUAUUAGCUGUUUGUCUUGCAAAGUGAAAUCGUUUUUUAAAACUUUAUCAAAAUGUCAUUGUCCCAGGGUUUAAGAACGUGCCCUCUGGCUUUGAGGGAAGAUCCACAGAUCCCACAGGUAAAGAACCGUCACAUCAGGGUCUCACUGGAGCUUGAGCGAUGAGCUUGGCAGUGGCUGCCCAGCCCGAGGCUCUCUCAGGGUGGGGUGGAGGGCCCCCAGGGGCAGCUGGGCAUCAAAGCCUCAUCCUGGUACCUGAACUGUCUUUUUUCUUUUUUUUUAAUGCAUCACGAGAAAUAAAAAUCUAGAGAUUCAUAUACAUCGAGACCGUGUAUUGGUAUCUUUGCUUUUCUGUUUGAGGAGGAAAUAGAAAACAUUCCACUUCCUCAUUCUUUUAGAUUAAAAACAAGGAAAUAUAUUAAACAAUUAAAAGGUAUUUAGUUUCCUAGUGAUGGCAGUUAAAUAAGAGAGAAAGACCAGGGGAGACUGAAGGCAGUGGAGAAGGCAGGGGGCGGAGUCCUGUCCCCGAGGUCCCUCAGCUCUGUGCCAGCCGCACCUUCCCUGCUCCAGCUCCAGAGCUGUCAGCCUCGGAGGGCCCAGCCCCCAUCAGUCAGUUGGGCAGAGGCCCCUCCCCCACCUUCAACCUGUUCUGUUCAGAGUCAAGGCCAAUCAUUCCUAGCUCUGAGGUCUGUUUCCAGUCCCUGCUUUCCUAUCCGUCACCUUCCCUUAGGGCUCCUCAUUUCUUGCCUGCACGAUUGCACAACCAUCAGCCCUGCAUUUAGGACUCCCUGUCAUGCUCCAUGUCCAAACCUGUGAUCCCCACUAUAAGCUGCUCUGAGUUCAUUCUGCCCUUGUCCAGCAUCUCCAGAUCUCCCUCCACACACAGAACAAAUCCCUCUACCUAGCCUGGCUUGGGGCCCUUGGUGAUGGGGCCCUGCCCCCCUCAGCCUUAUUUCUACCUUUCCCUCCCUCCCAUUGCUUCGUUCUGAUGGCCCUAACCUCUGGCUUUCAUCUUUCCUGGAACAUGCCAUGCUCUUUCACGCCUCCAUGCCUUUGCACAUGCUGUCCCCUGGGUCUGGACUACCCUCCCCAGUCUGUCCACCUGGCACCCAUCCUCUCAGGCUCAUCUCUACAGCUAUCAACCUCAUCCCCUCAAUCGCACACCCACUGGGCUUUGUACUGGCAGCGUAGAGUGCCCCCUGAGCACAGAGCACAGAGCCCAGUCCCGGGGCAUGAAGGGAACCUUCGCGGAAUUAAUAAAAUGGUUUCUAGCCAGGCUAGAGUGUCAGUCACCAAAAGGUUCAAUUCCUUCUGUACAUACUGGGUGGCACAGCAGGAGUUAUGAGAAAACUGCUCCCAAAUGUUUGAACAUCAAUUAGGCUGCCUUGUAUAAAGGGAGAUAUGCAAAAAUGUAGCCUUAAAGGCUAAGACUUGUGUGAACUCACAUGUGUGCAGUGGUAGAACCUACAGCUUUCUGUGAUCAUCAUCAUUAUCAUCAUCAUCGUCAUCAACAUUUUUGGGGCACUCACUGUGUACCAUGCACUGUGCUAAAAGUGUUGCAUGCACAACCUCUUGUUUAACCCUCUAAACAGCCUGGGAGGUUAGGUGUUAUUGUUCCCAUACUCAGAGAGGAAAAAUGAGGCAUGGGGAGGUUAAGUGACUUGUCUGGAGUCACAUACCUAGAGAGCAGCAGAGCUUAGACUCUGUGGUUGACUUACCUGUGGCCCCAUCCUGGUUAGCGUUCCAACCUCCCUGGGUUCCCUGAUGCUCAGGAGGCACCCACAGGCAAGGGAGGAACACCUCAGGGGUCUGGGAAGCCUUGUAGCCACCUCUUCCCCUCUUUGCUGCUACUCUCCUCUGUCCCAGAGGGAUUUGAGGUGGAUGCUGCCCCGCUAUUUGUCCUUAACACCUGAGUGUGAAUUGGUCCAUGGUCUGUUGUCUUGAAUGUCUGUCUGGGCAGAGAGCUGGUGAGACUUGGAAAGUUUGAACCAGCAGGAGCCAGGUGGAGUUAUUGUUGGGGGGCUGGGGAGGCAGUGGGGGGACACCCUGGUCAAGCCCCAUCGUCUCUCACAGGGGUCCUUCAGCCUUGCCCUCAUCCAUUCUCCACACAGCAGACAGAGUGAUCUUUGUACAUGCAAACCUGAGCACCCUCCCAGCUUAAAACACUUUCACGGCCCCCAGGAUAAAAUCCAUGCCCUGAGUCCACCAUCCUCUCCUGUCUCACGCUUUGCCAAUCUUAUCCUCCCCUGCGUGUGCCUCCAGAGCCCUUCCUACUAUUUCCUCCCGUGGUCCCUGGUCAGGGCAGGCCCUUCCUCACGCUGUCCCCUAAUACUGGAACCCUUCGCCUUGCCUGGCUGGCUGCUCCUCACUUUCAGGUCUCAGCCGAAAAGUCUCUUUUUCAGAGAAGCCUUCCUGAUCUCCCCUUGAAUUCAGUAUUAGGGCCUCCUGCAGGGAGUACCCCUUGCUCUGAAGGGGAGAAAAAUAUGCCACCCCAAAAUAUGCCAUUUUGGCAUAUCGAUUAUAUCGAAUUAAAGUUAUUUAAGAAAGAACUGGUGCAAGAAGGACACUUUGACCCUCCUUUGUCCCCCUGAAAGCAGAAAAUAAACCUCUCAUGUGAAAGGUACCCUUCCUGUACCAGGAGGGUAGAAGACAACCUUAUCACCAGAGAGGGAAUUCAAGGCUGAGAAGGCGAUAUAAAGAAAUCUUAUUAC